rnacentral:lncRNA from 1 species
UUUACAAAGGGAAAUCUCAAGUCAGCGUCAUGGCAUCCAAAUGGAGUUACACGGCAACACUUCUUCCUCUUAGCUCCUGAGAUCUUUGUCAGAGUCACAUUGAACUUUUUUCCAUCAUUUUUCAAAAAAAAGAAAGAAAGAAAGGAAUAGAGAAAAGAAAGAAAGAAAUUUUCUUCCAAGAAUGAAAUUCUUCCUCAAGUAAUAUCCACUGCUGGAGGUCAAGAAGCAGUGAAUUAAAACUACAGAGCUAAGCCCAAGAGACUACUAAAACAGAAAAUAGAGAAUCACUGUCUCUGAAGAUGAAGAGGGACAGAGAGAGAAGGGCUGUCAUGUAUUUCACAGGCCCAGUGGAAUUCAGAUGCUUAGAAUCAUGUGCUAAAGGUGAAGGGAAUACUUUAGAGCCGGGCGGUGGUGGCACACACAUACUUUUAAUCCCGGCAUCUGAGAGGCAGAGGCAGGAAGAUCUCGAGUUGAACGCUAGUCUGGCCAACAUAAUAAGUUCCAGGACAGCCAAAGCUACUUAGAGAGACCCUGUCUCAAACAACUAACCAAACAAAAAAACUAAAAAGAAGCACAAGGACACUGUCUUACAUAGUAGCAAGUCAGGGAACCGAUACAGUACUAGUAUCUAUCUAGUCUACAACAUUAUUAAAAUUUUGUCAUCUGCCCUUAUGAUGUUCUUUACAGUAAAAGAAAAAACUUUUAAGUAUGGAAUUCUGUCUUUGGUAUCUUUGGUCUCAGGAAAAAACAAAGAAACAAGAUUUAACUACACUGUAAAAUGACUUAGAAGGGCUGACUCCUGGCUCUGAAUAAGUUCUCAGAUAUCCUAUGAAAGGAUGCAGACUUAGCCAUCUAAUGACUCAAAAAAUAAAUAAAUAAAAAUUUUAAAAACCUGUUUGAAAUCAGGCAUACAUUUCUGAUAUGAACACAAGCUCAUAUGCUUUCAUCAAGCAAUUGAAUUCAAGCCAGAUGCAUGCUAGGAGGUCAGAGUCUGACUAUCUAGUGGAUGCUUUGUAUUAAAUCUUUAUGUCCAUUUGCUGGGGAGAACUUCAGAUCCAUUCCCAGCAUUCACACAAAAAGCCAGGCAAUGUAGCUUGUGCUUUUAAUCUCAGUGCUAGGAAGAAAUAGACAGGUGGAUUCCUGGGGUACACUGGCCAGCCAGCCUAAUCUAUUCAACAAGCUUCAGGGCAGUGAGAGUCCCUCUUUCUCAAAAAAAAAAGGUGAAGGCAAAGCAUGGUGGCAUGAACUUUUAAUCCCAGCCUUCAAAAAGACAGGCAGUCUUUGAGGCCAACCUAGUUUACAUAGUGAGUUCUAGAUCAACCAGCGAUGCAAGAGACCUUAUCUCAAAUAAUGAUAAUGAUGAUAAGUAUUAUAUAAUAACAUGAUAAAGGAAAAGGUGCCUGAGCAAUAUCACCUGGUAUCUUUUAGCCUCUACAUACACAUCUGCAACAUGCCAAAGAAGAUAAAUAAACCUAAUGUCCAGUAUAAACCACUCAUUACUCUUCAGCAAUCUACAGGCGUUAUGCCUUCUGCAGUGAAAGGGACCCCUACACAUUUCUGUUCUUUAAAACCAGGACCACUGCCCAGGCCAGGUGCGAGGCUCUGAGUCUCUUCCUUUGAACAGUCUUAUCAGCAGCACAUUCUCAUGGAAACUAAGUUGACGCUACAGUUUUCCUGUGUAUGCAUGUAGAGGCUAGGGUUUAUGCUAGAUAUCUUCCUCACUCACUAUCCAAUUUAUUUAUUUUCAAAAGGAGCUCUGGCAAAGGUUGUUUUUGUUUUGUUUUGUUUUUUUCGAGACAGGGUUUCUCUCUGUGUAGCCCUGGCUGUCCUGGAACUCACUCUGUAGACCAGGCUGGCAUCGAACUCAGAAAUCUGCCUGCCUCUGCCCCCAAGUGCUGGGAUUAAAGGUGCGCCACCACCACCUGGCUCUGGCAAAGUUUUAUUAAAGGCACUUUCUUGGUUUACUUCUUACUGGUCAGUUUGGCAUGCUUCUGAUAAUAUCAGAAUCAUCUGGGUCAAUGAUAGCCAGUGUGCAUACUCUAGUGUUUUCCACAACUGUGCCCAAUUCAACAGUAUUGCCACUGUAGUGAUGGACACCAGUUUUAGCCAAUGUGGCAUAGUAUUCUGUUUCAGAUUUCCUCAAAGCUGGGCAGUUGUUGGCAAGGAUAACCAAUUUUACUUUGCCUUGUCUGAUCAUCUUCAGCGUCUGUUUAUACCCUAGCAUGUACUUUCCACUUUUCAUAACAAACUAGAGCUUAGAGUUGAUCAACUCUAGAGGCUUUUUUCAUCAUCUUUGUGGCCACCAUCUUCCUGCCUUAGGUGUGGGACAAUCCCCCAACCUAGCACCCACAGAGGACAGAAGAGAGGAUUAUGAUCCGGAAUGUCAAACACCAACUAGCAGAGCUCCCCCAGCAGCCUAAUCCUCUACCCAGCAGAGCUCACUCACUAAGAUCCCACAAUAUAAAUCUCACUGAACUUAGAGCUUGCAGAUUCAGAUAGACUGGCUGUCCAGCAAAUCUCAGGGAUUCUUCUGUUUCUGUGUCAUAGUGCUGGCAUUUUUAUUUACUUGUUGGCGAUUCUAUUUAAAUUCCUUUCCUGUUGUUUUACAUGGGAGCUUACAUUGUGUGAACUUUUAACAAACUGAACCAUCUCUCCAGCCCACUAAUGUAAACAGAAUUAUAAAAUCUAGCUGCCUCCUAUAAAAGAUGCACAAUCCAGGUAUUUUAUUUAUAAGCUUGUAAACCUAGAUUGGGCAGAUUUUGGAACUAUUCUAAUUUUUAUAUCCCAGUCAUAUGUCCCUUGUUACUUGCAGUUUAUUCUGGCCAUGUAUGUGCUCAUGGUCCCUCCCCUCCCCUCCCCUUCCCCUCCUCUUAUGGCCCCUUCCUCCUCUCUCCCUGUUCUUUUUUCCUCUAUGCCUUCUAUCUGUGACUUCCAGCCAGGUAACUAAAAAACCUGUCUAUCUCUUAUCUUCUGUCCAUUCACAGGUUUUAGCCUUUAUUGACCAAUUAACUUGGGGAACAAGGUUACAUAGCAUCAUUUGGGGUAUGUGAGGACCUCCUCGUUGGUGGGGAGGGGCCCCAGAUCUUGGGGGCCAUUUGAAUACAUAGCAGCACCAGAACAACCCCAACACACUAAUAUGCUAGUAUUUACUUUGUUGACAAUAAAGCUCUUAAGUUAGAGUGACUGACUCCUGGAACAUCCAGAUUUACAAUGCACAGUACAAUUUUGUUUACAGAGCACUUGAUCUCAAUAAUCUUUGCCUUGCUAGCACUGAGCUCCUAGCUUGUGAACUGGCUGCUGAGGUCUUCAUGCUAUAUGUGGCAAGCACAUGCUUUAUUUAUGUGGCAAGUGCUUCACUGACAGCUGCCUCCCAGCUCCUAGGUACAUAAAAUCUUGUUGUUUGUGUUUACAUUAUACUUUUAAUGAGGAAUGCCUAGCAGAGCAAGAGGGGAUCUUUUCGAUUUCUUGUGAAACUUCUCUAGUGUAAUCCAUGUGAUAGGAUUUCUGUAUGAUGCUUUUGGGAUAAUAUGUUCCUAGUAAUUUCUGUUGAUUGUCCUAACUGAAGCCUCAUGUUCUAAGUCUUUUCCUCUUGGGUUUCUUCUCUUCUGUAAAAUUAGAUUUUCACUAAAUUAACC